rnacentral:tRNA from 1 species
GGAAUAGUUCAGUUGGUAGAAUGUCGGUCUCCAAAACCGAAGGUCGGGAGUUCGAGCCUCUCUUCC